UGAAUGCACUGAAGUCAGAGAUUUACGAGUUCCCAGUUGUCUUGAAUGCACUGGAGUCGGAAAUUUCCUAGUUCCCAGUUGUCUUGAACGCAUUGAAGUUGGAGAUUUACGAGUUUCCAGUUGUUUAGAAUGCAGCAUUUAGUCAUGAGAAAGUACUUUUCAGAAUGACUUCAGGACCUUUAUCCACUAUUAUCGCACACUGAGUGAGUCCAUGCAACUUGUUACGUGACAUUUUUACUCCUGAACUUAUUUAGGCUUGCCAUAAAAAACUCAAAGUUAAAUACUUAUUGACUCAAGACAUUUCAGCUUUUCAUUUUGAAUUCAUUUUUAACAAUUUCGAAAAACAUAAUUACAUUGUGACGACAAACACCACCGCUCAAAAGUUUGUCCUUGUUUUUAAAAGAACAAUACAUUUUUUGUUCAUUAAAAUAGCGUCAAAUUGAUCAGGAAUCCAGUGUAGAUAUUGUGAAUGUUGUAAAUGACUAUUGUAGCUGGAAACUGUAGAUUUUUUAAAUGAAAUAUCUACAUAGGCGUAUAGAGGCCCGUUAUCAGCAACCAUCGCUCCUGUGUUCCAAUGGCACGUUGUGUUAACUGGCAGCUCCAUUAAAUAGUACCUGCUAAAGGAGGGGACUCCGGGAUGCUGGCCUUCUAGGCAGAGUUGUAAAGAAAAGGCCAUAUCUCAGACUGGUCAAUACAAAUAACAGAUGGGAAAAAGAACACAGACACUGGACAGAGGAACUCUGCCUAGAAGGCCAGCAUGCAGGAGUCACCUCUUCACUGUUGACAAUGAGACUGGUGUUUUGCGGAUACUAUUUAAUGAAGCUGCCAGUUGAGGACUUGUGAGGCGUCUGUUUCUCAAACUAGACACUCUAAUGUACUUGUCCUCUUGCUCAGUUGUGCACCGGGGCCUCCCACUCCUCUUUCUAUUCUAGUUAGAGCCAGUUUGCGUUGUUCUGUGAAGGGAGUAGGACACAGCAUUGUACAAGAGCUUCAGUUUCUUGGCAAUUUCUCACAUGGAAUAGCCUUCAUUUCUCAGAACAAGAAUAGACUGAUGAGUUUCAGAAGAAAGGUCUUUGUUUCUGGCCAUUUUGAGCCUGGAUUCGAACCCACAAAUGCUGAUGCUCCAGAUACUCAACUAGUCUAAAGAAGGCCAGUUUUAUUGCUUCUUUAAUAAGAACAACCGUUUUCAGCUGUGCUAACAUAAUCACAAAAAGGUUUUCUAAUGAUCAAUCAGACUUUUAAAAUGAUAAACUUGGAUUAGCUAACACAACGUGCCAUUGGAACACAGGAUUGAUGGUUGCUGAUAAUGGUCCUCUGUACGCCUAUGUAGAUAUUCCAUAACAAAUCUGAUGUUUUGAUGUUAUUUUAAUUGACACAUUUUUUUGCUUUUCUUAAAAAAAAAACGAGGACAUUUCUAAGUGACCCCAAAAUGUUGAAUGGUAGUGUAUAUUUAAUCAAUUUUGAGUACAGGCUGUAACACAACAUGGCAAAAGUCAAGAGGUGUGAAUACUUUCUGAAAGCACAUUCUUAUCAGGUAUUUUUUUUUCUAGCUAACCAAUAAUAGGUAUAUUCCCUUCCUCUCCUCUUCCUUUCCUCGCAGCCAUGGCAACGUUGUUGGAGGAGGUGCUGCUGGUGGUGAAGAGGGUCCGACAGAGGAAGCAGGACGGGACCUUCUACCCGAUGGCAGAGAUGGGGACCAGAGGGAAAAGACUGCUCUACCGUUAGCCACCUGUAUGCUGACAUACACUGCCAUUCUAACUUGAAAAACGUAGCAGGCCACUGGCUGUUCGGCGCACGGCAUACACAGAUUAACCAGUGCCUUUUGAAGAGGUCGUAGGUAACAGAGAUCCUGCAGAGCCAAGUGCAGUACUCUCUACGUUACAAAAGGUUGAGCAGAGGCAGUGGUGCUUGCAGUACUCACCUACACCAUGCUACGGUCAGAAGAUCAGCCCAGACGGCAAGGCCAAGAUUCAGCUGCAGUUGGUCCUACACACGGGGGAGAGCACCAACCUCCACUUCUCCAAUGAGAGCACUGCCAUGAAAGACCCGCGAUGCAGCCAAGAACCUCCUGCAGCAGCUGCUGCCCAAGUUCAAGAAGAGGGCUAACAAGGAACUGGAGGAGAAGAACAGAAUGUUACAGGAAGAUCCGGUGCUGUUCCAGCUGAACAAGGAUCUGGUCGUAAGUCAGGUGAUCAGUGCUGAAGAGUUCUGGGCCAAUCGGCUGAGCAUGAACAGCGUGGACCACUCCUUCUCCAACAACAAGCAGGAAGUGGGCAUCUCAGCAGCCUUCCUGAUAACCUCUCAUCUUUUGUGAAAACUGAUGCGUCCUCUCCUUCAGUGUGGAAUUGCAUGGAACUGUGUUGACAGGCAUUGAUCUACACGUCAUUAUGCAUGCUCUCACCUGGAUUCACCUGGUCCGUCUGUGUCAUGGAAAGAACAGCUGUUUCUAAUGGUUAGUAUACUGUGUCUUCAUUGGUUACGUCAUAGCUCAUUUGUAAACUAUAAAUAUUGGUACAUUACUAGCUCAAACACAAUCUGCAAAAAUGACAAGUUAAUUAUUUGGUGAUGGGGAGUUCAGAACAAAGGUGGGGGGACAAUAUGUGUAUGCGAUCAGUAAGAUUAUAUUUUAUUUUGACAAACUGGCUACAUUGCCCCCGCCCUCCCCCCAUAUGAUGGUGGUAGUGGGUAUUAGUUGUCUAGUCUUGCUGAAAGCACUGUGGUAGAUGUCUAGUCUCCCUUCUGGCUCUAAUCUGAUAGUGGGGUGGUAGAUGUCUAGUCUCCUUUAUGGCUCUAAUCUGAUAGUGGGGUGGUAGAUGUCUAGUCUCCAUUAUGGCUCUAAUCUGAUAGUGGUAGUGGGUGGUAGAUGUCUAGUCUAUCUUUUGGCUCUAAUCUGAUAGUGGCAGAUGUCUAGUCUCCUUUAUGGCUCUAAUCUGAUAGUGAUUGUGAGGUGGUAGAUGUCUAGUCUCCCUUUUGGCUCUAAUCUAAUAGUGGUAGUGGGGUGGUAGAUGUCUAGUCUCCCUUUUGGCUCUAAUCUAAUAGUGAUAGUGGGGUGGUAGAUGUCUAGUCUUCAUUUUGGCUCUAAUCUGAUAGUGGUAGGUGUCUCCAUUUUGGCUCUAAUCUGAUAGUGGUAGUGGUAUAUGUGGUAUAGGUGGUGUAACUCUCCUUCCGUGGCCUCCAAUUGCUCUUAAAUACAAGUAAAACUAAAUGCAUGCUCUUCAACCGAUCGCUACCUGCACCUACCCGCCUGUCCAACAUCACUACUCUGGACGGCUCUGACUUAGAAUACGUGGACAACUACAAAUACUUAGGUGUCUGGUUAGACUGUAAACUCUCCUUCCAGACCCAUAUCAAACAUCUCCAAUCCAAAGUUAAAUCUAGAAUUGGCUUCCUAUUUCGCAACAAAGCAUCCUUCACUCAUGCUGCCAAACAUACCCUUGUAAAACUGACCAUCCUACCAAUCCUCGACUUUGGCGAUGUCACUUACAAAAUAGCCUCCAAUACCCUACUCAACAAAUUGGAUGCAGUCUAUCACAGUGCAAUCAGUUUUGUCACCAAAGCCCCGUAUACUACCCACCAUUGCGACCUGUACGCUCUCGUUGGCUGGCCCUCGCUUCAUACUCGUCGCCAAACCCACUGGCUCCAUGUCAUCUACAAGACCCUGCUAGGUAAAGUCACCCCUUAUCUCAGCUCGCUGGUCACCAUAGCAUCUCCCACCUGUAGCACACGCUCCAGCAGGUAUAUCUCUCUAGUCAUCCCCAAAACCAAUUAUUUCUUUGGCCGCCUCUCCUUCCAGUUCUCUACUGCCAAUGACUGGAACGAACUACAAAAAUCUCUGAAACUGGAAACACUUAUCUCCCUCACUAGCUUUAAGCACCAACUGUCAGAGCAGCUCACAGAUUACUGCACCUGUACAUAGCCCACCUAUAAUUUAUCCCAAACAACUACCUCUUUCCCAAAUGUAUUUAAUUAAUUAAUUAAUUUUGCUCAUUUGCACACCAUUAUUUGUAUUUCUACUUUGCACAUUCUUCUAUUGCAAAACUACCAUUCCAGUGUUUUACUUGCUAUAUUGUAUUUACUUUGCCACCAUGGCCUUUUUUGCCUUUACCUCCCUUCUCACCUCAUUUGCUCACAUUGUAUAUAGACUUGUUUAUACUGUAUUAUUGACUGUAUGUUUGUUUUACUCCAUAUGUAACUCUGUGUUGUUGUAUCUGUCGAACUGCUUUGCUUUAUC